UACAGAGGGUGCGAGCGUUAAUCGGAAUUACUGGGCGUAAAGCGCGCGUAGGCGGUUAUGUAAGUCGAGUGUGAAAGCCCCGGGCUCAACCUGGGAACUGCAUUCGAGACUGCAUAACUGGAGUAUGGGAGAGGGCAGUGGAAUUUCAGGUGUAGCGGUGAAAUGCGUAGAUAUCUGAAGGAACAUCAGUGGCGAAAGCGACUGCCUGGCCCAAUACUGACGCUCAUGUGCGAAAGCGUGGGGAGCAAACAG
rnacentral:rRNA from 1 species